GUGAACGCUGGCGGCGUGCUUAACACAUGCAAGUCGAACGGUAACAGGAAGUAGCUUGCUACUUUGCUGACGAGUGGCGCACGGGUGAGUAAACUAUAGUUAAUGUGCCUCGAAGACUGGGAUAGCCACUGGAAACGGUGAUUAAUACUAGAUACACCUCUUUAGCUCAAGCUGGGGAGGGAAACGUUUUUUCGCUAAGAGAUCAGUCUAUGUCCUAUCAGCUAGUUGGUGAGGUAAUGGCUCACCAAGGCUAUGACGGGUAUCUGGUUUGAGAGGAUGAUCAGACACACUGGAACUGAGACACGGUCCAGACUCCUACGGGAGGCAGCAGUGAGGAAUAUUGCACAAUGGAGGAAACUCUGAUGCAGCAACGCCGCGUGGAGGAUGACGCAUUUCGGUGUGUAAACUCCUUUUAAGAGGGAAGAUAAUGACGGUACCUCUUGAAUAAGCACCGGCUAACUCCGU
rnacentral:rRNA from 1 species